GAUUGAACGCUGGCGGAAUGCUUUACACAUGCAAGUCGAACGGCAGCACGGGAGCUUGCUCCUGGUGGCGAGUGGCGAACGGGUGAGUAAUGCGUCGGAACGUACCGAGUAAUGGGGGAUAACGCACCGAAAGGUGUGCUAAUACCGCAUACGCCCUGAGGGGGAAAGCGGGGGAUCGUAAGACCUCGCGUUAUUCGAGCGGCCGACGUCUGAUUAGCUAGUUGGUGAGGUAAUGGCUCACCAAGGCGACGAUCAGUAGCGGGUCUGAGAGGAUGAUCCGCCACACUGGGACUGAGACACGGCCCAGACUCCUACGGGAGGCAGCAGUGGGGAAUUUUGGACAAUGGGGCAACCCUGAUCCAGCCAUUCCGCGUGAGUGAAGAAGGCCUUCGGGUUGUAAAGCUCUUUCAGCUGGAACGAAACGGUGAGCUCUAACAUAGCUUGCUAAUGACGGUACCAGCAGAAGAAGCACCGGCUAACUACGUGCCAGCAGCCGCGGUAAUACGUAGGGUGCGAGCGUUAAUCGGNAUUACUGGGCGUAAAGCGUGCGCAGGCGGAUUGUUAAGCAAGACGUGAAAUCCCCGGGCUUAACCUGGGAAUGGCGUUUUGAACUGGCAGUCUAGAGUGUGUCAGAGGGGGGUGGAAUUCCACGUGUAGCAGUGAAAUGCGUAGAGAUGUGGAGGAACACCGAUGGCGAAGGCAGCCCCCUGGGAUAACACUGACGCUCAUGUACGAAAGCGUGGGUAGCAAACAGGAUUAGAUACCCUGGUAGUCCACGCCCUAAACGAUGUCAACUGGUUGUUGGGGGAGUGAAAUCCCUUAGUAACGAAGCUAACGCGUGAAGUUGACCGCCUGGGGAGUACGGUCGCAAGAUUAAAACUCAAAGGAAUUGACGGGGACCCGCACAAGCGGUGGAUGAUGUGGAUUAAUUCGAUGCAACGCGAAAAACCUUACCUACCCUUGACAUGUCCAGAACCCUGCAGAGAUGCGGGGGUGCCCGAAAGGGAAUUGGAACACAGGUGCUGCAUGGCUGUCGUCAGCUCGUGUCGUGAGAUGUUGGGUUAAGUCCCGCAACGAGCGCAACCCUUAUCAUUAGUUGCUACGCAAGGGCACUCUAAUGAGACUGCCGGUGACAAACCGGAGGAAGGUGGGGAUGACGUCAAGUCCUCAUGGCCCUUAUGGGUAGGGCUUCACACGUCAUACAAUGGUCGGUACAGAGGGUUGCCAAGCCGCGAGGUGGAGCCAAUCCCAGAAAGCCGAUCGUAGUCCGGAUUGUUCUCUGCAACUCGAGAGCAUGAAGUCGGAAUCGCUAGUAAUCGCGGAUCAGCAUGUCGCGGUGAAUACGUUCCCGGGUC
rnacentral:rRNA from 1 species